AAUGCCACAUGGCCUCGGCAGAGGAGCGGUGGGAGUCCGGUCGCGAGAGUCCGCUUGGGGGCAGGAAGUGGCCCGCUCCUCCUUUCGGAGAGCGUUUCCGGAGCGCCUACUGUGUGUUCCACGCUGGGGGUGGGGGCCGUGACCAAGAGGAGAAAUAAUGCCCACCCUGACGGGAGUGAGUCCGUUCCCUCCACCAGGAUCUCCCGCCGGCGGUUUGACUGCUCCCAUUGCGCGGAGAGGAGACUGAGGCCCCGUUAGUCCGGGGAUGUACCCCAGCUGCACUAUUUAUUUUGGUGGAAAAUUUCAAACACCUACAUGCGCCUCACUGGGAGUAGACUACUUGCAGUCACCCUGGGAGCUCUGCACAGCGGGGUGUCAUAACAGGGACUUCCUAGGUGGCUCAGUGGGUGGGAAUCUGCCUGCCAAUGCAGGGAACACGGAUUCGAUCCCUGCCCCAGGAAGAUCCCACAUGCCAUGGAGCAACUAAGCUCGUGCACCACAGCUGUUGAGCCUGCGCUCUGGAGCCCAUGAGCCACAACUGUUGAGCCCAUGUGCCGCAACUGCUGAAGUCCACGUGCCUAGAGCCCGUGCUCUGCAACAAGAGAGGCCACCGCAAGGAGAAGCCUGCGCACCACAAGGAAGAGUAGCUCCCACUCACUGCAACUAGAGAAAGCCCCUGCGCAGCAACGAAGACCCAA